rnacentral:rRNA from 1 species
AGUGAACGCUGGCGGUAGGCCUAACACAUGCAAGUCGAACGGCAGCACAGUAAGAGCUUGCUCUUACGGGUGGCGAGUGGCGGACGGGUGAGGAAUACAUCGGAAUCUACUUUUUCGUGGGGGAUAACGUAGGGAAACUUACGCUAAUACCGCAUACGACCUACGGGUGAAAGCAGGGGAUCUUCGGACCUUGCGCGAUUGAAUGAGCCGAUGUCGGAUUAGCUAGUUGGCGGGGUAAAGGCCCACCAAGGCGACGAUCCGUAGCUGGUCUGAGAGGAUGAUCAGCCACACUGGAACUGAGACACGGUCCAGACUCCUACGGGAGGCAGCAGUGGGGAAUAUUGGACAAUGGGCGCAAGCCUGAUCCAGCCAUACCGCGUGGGUGAAGAAGGCCUUCGGGUUGUAAAGCCCUUUUGUUGGGAAAGAAAAGCAGCAGGUUAAUACCCCGCUGUUCUGACGGUGCCCAAAGAAUAAGCACCGGCUAACUUCGUGC